rnacentral:rRNA from 1 species
UACGUAGGGUCCGAGCGUUGUCCGGAAUUAUUGGGCGUAAAGAGCUCGUAGGCGGUUUGUCGCGUCUGCUGUGAAAUCCCGAGGCUCAACCUCGGGCCUGCAGUGGGUACGGGCAGACUGGAGUGCGGUAGGGGAGAAUGGAAUUCCUGGUGUAGCGGUGGAAUGCGCAGAUAUCAGGAGGAACACCGAUGGCGAAGGCAGUUCUCUGGGUCGUAACUGACGCUGAGGAGCGAAAGCGUGGGGAGCGAACAGG